UAACCUACGGGGGGCAGCAGUGAGGGAUAUUGGUCAAUGGGGGAAACCCUGAACCAGCAACGCCGCGUGAGGGAAGACGGUUUUCGGAUUGUAAACCUCUGUCCUCUGUGAAGAUAAUGACGGUAGCAGAGGAGGAAGCUCCGGCUAACUACGUGCCAGCAGCCGCGGUAAUACGUAGGGAGCAAGCGUUGUCCGGAUUUACUGGGUGUAAAGGGAGCGUAGACGGCAGCGCAAGUCUGGAGUGAAAUGCCGGGGCUCAACCCCGGAACUGCUUUGGAAACUGUGCAGCUAGAGUGCGGGAGAGG
rnacentral:rRNA from 1 species